CAAAUACUCCCUCCAUCCGGAAGUCAUCAAAAUGGAUAAAAGGAAAUGUAUCUAGACGUAUUUUAGUUUUAGAUACAUCUCUUUUUAUCCAUUUUGAUGACAACUAUUUUCGGACGGAGGGAGUAUUUA
rfam:Triticum aestivum genome assembly, contig: Triticum_aestivum_CS42_TGACv1_scaffold_407672_5BL